UAGCCCGCAAAAUCCUUCUGCCUACCUGACUACCUCAGCAUCGUUUCUUCCCCAACCUCCCCCGCUCGCCAAAAUGGCCAACGCCGCCGCUACACCCGAGGCGCCGACCUCCUCUUCCCGCUCCCCUCCCUCUCUUCCUCGCUAGUUCGUGCAAGAAUCUGCUCUUCCCUUUCCUCUCCCCUCCCUCAGCAUCGCCUCCUCGAUGGGGAAAUUUCUUCUGGCGGCGCCGCCCACCUGACGGUCUUCCUCCGCCAACCUGCAGAUCAGCCCGCCGGCAACAGAUCCUAUAACCUCCUCAGCGUUCCUGAUGUUGGGGUCGACGGCAGCGGUGCCGCCAUAUCAACAUCAGGGCUGCCCUUCUGGAUUCCUCCACCGCCUCCCUCAUGCGCUCAAGGGGUUGUUCCUCCACUGUUUCCCUCGCCACAUGCAGCCGGCGUUUCGUCGCCGUCAACUUCCGCGAGGUCUGCAUUCAAGUAAUCAUUGGAGAGAAGGAAAGACCCCCAAAAGCCCCUCCAAAGAAGAGGUUUACGCCACCGGUAGUGCCUGUAGUGGUAUCAUUUUUACUAAGGCAAUAGUACUUGAUCAUGCUUUACCAUUGCAAUCUAGUUCUGCCCAGUUUCUUUGAUUCUUUCUCCAUAAAUUUGCUUGGUAAUAGGUCUGGUUGAUUGAUUGUUAGUACCAAUUUGUUACUUCACAUUUUGCCUGUAGUGGCACUGUAAGAUGUCCAUGCUACUCUCUCAGAUCACCGCCAAGCAGGCUAGUGUGGACUGCCGAUGUGUCAUAUGUUGAGAACCCCAAAGUAUUUAGCAUAUUGAUUUACUACUCUUUUCCAGUGCGUUUUGCAGGUUUUAGAGCAGGGCUACAAGGUCAAGGGUCAACAACUAGGUACAUGGCAAAUCUAAUUAUGUAAUGAGUGAAAAGAGUUCUCCAGUGCAGCUCCAGAGUCGUAAUGGUCUUCUUCCCACUGCACUUGAUGCAGUACCCACCACAAACUGAAGCUCUUUGCUUUCUUGUGUUGCUUCAGAACUUUUUUUUAGAGAUUGAAGGUUCUUCAUAUUAUAAUCAAUCUUGUGCUUAGUCUCAUACAUUGGUUGAUAAUGUUGUAAUAAUUAGCCAAUAUCCGUGGACUGAAUACUGUUGCCCCCUGAGUUCAAGUGAUAACCAGAUCACUACUACAGAUUGAGUGCUUGAGUACUGUUGCUGAUCAAUGACAAAUCUGAUAAAGUUUAACUUGAUGGUUCA